CAGUCGCCGCGGUAAUACGUAGGGUGCAAGCGUUAAUCGGAAUUACUGGGCGUAAAGCGUGCGCAGGCGGUUAUAUAAGACAGAUGUGAAAUCCCCGGGCUCAACCUGGGAACUGCAUUUGUGACUGUAUAGCUAGAGUACGGCAGAGGGGGAUGGAAUUCCGCGUGUAGCAGUGAAAUGCGUAGAUAUGCGGAGGAACACCGAUGGCGAAGGCAAUCCCCUGGGCCUGUACUGACGCUCAUGCACGAAAGCGUGGGGAGCAAACAGGAUUAGAUACCCGUGUAGUCCCUGUCACUUAUAC
rnacentral:rRNA from 1 species